GUAAGUAUAGUUUAACCAAAAUAUUAGACUGUGAUUCUAAAGACGGGAGUUAAAAUCUCCUUACUCACC
rnacentral:tRNA from 1 species